rnacentral:rRNA from 1 species
CCUACGGGUGGCAGCAGUGAGGAAUAUUGGUCAAUGGACGAGAGUCUGAACCAGCCAAGUAGCGUGAAGGAUGACUGCCAUAUGGGUUGUAAACUUCUUUUAUAUGGGAAUAAAACGUUCCACGUGUGGGAUUUUGUAUGUACCAUAUGAAUAAGGAUCGGCUAACUCCGUGCCAGCAGCCGCGGUAAUACGGAGGAUCCGAGCGUUAUCCGGAUUUAUUGGGUUUAAAGGGAGCGUAGGUGGAUUGUUAAGUCAGUUGUGAAAGUUUGCGGCUCAACCGUAAAAUUGCAGUUGAAACUGGCAGUCUUGAGUACAGUAGAGGUGGGCGGAAUUCGUGGUGUAGCGGUGAAAUGCUUAGAUAUCACGAAGAACUCCGAUUGCGAAGGCAGUUCACUGGACUGCAACUGACACUGAGGCUCGAAAGUGUGGGUAUCAAACAGGAUUAGAUACCCCAGUAGUC